rnacentral:misc_RNA from 1 species
UGGUGCGCAGGCGGCGCGUGGAUUUGCGUGACAAGCUGGAACGCCGCUUCGGUGUCGUGCUGCACGAACGCUUGGCUGGCAAGGUACUGGCAAAGCUCGGACCGUCAGCUCUCGGGCGUCCGCGCCAUCCACAGGCCGACGAGUCAGUUAGUUUGAUUCGACGACCUUGAAGGUAACAGCAGAAUGCGAACAUUCCCGGUUUCACUUCCUAGCUCCAAGUCACGCCAUGCGAACCAUCGCUACGACUGUACUG